rnacentral:rRNA from 1 species
AUUGAACGCUGGCGGCAGGCCUAACACAUGCAAGUCGAGCGAGCGGCGGAUGGGUGAGGAAUGUCUGGGAAACUGCCUGUUGGAGGUGGCUAACUAAUGGAAACGGUAGUAAAUACUGCAUACAAUCAGAUCUGGCCAGGUGGGAUUAGCUAGUAGGUUGGGUAAUGGCGUACGUAGGCGACGAUCCCUAGCUGGUCUGAGAGGAUGACCAGCCACACUGGAACUGAGACACGGUCCAGACUCCUAAGGGAGGCAGCAGUGGGGAAUAUUGGACAAUGGGCGAAAGCCUGAUGCAGCCAUGCCGCGUGUGUGAAGAAGGUCUUCGGGUUGUAAAGCACUUUCAGCGGGGAGGCGUUACCCGCAGAAGAAGCACCGGCUAACUCCGUGCCAGCAGCCGCGGUAAUUC